rnacentral:rRNA from 1 species
UGAGGAAUAUUGGUCAAUGGACGCAAGUCUGAACCAGCCAUGCCGCGUGAAGGAUGAAGGCCUUCUGGGUUGUAAACUUCUUUUAUGUGGGAAGAAAACUACGGUUUCUACUGUAGCCGACGGUACCAUAGGAAUAAGCACCGGCUAACUCCGUGCCAGCAGCCGCGGUAAUACGGAGGGUGCAAGCGUUAUCCGGAUUCACUGGGUUUAAAGGGUGUGUAGGCGGGUUAUUAAGUCAGUGGUGAAAUCUCCGGGCUCAACCCGGAAACUGCCAUUGAUACUAUUAGCCUUGAAUUCUGUUGAGGUGGGCGGAAUAUGUCAUGUAGCGGUGAAAUGCAUAGAUAUGACAUAGAACACCAAUUGCGAAGGCAGCUCACUAAACAGCGAUUGACGCUGAGGCACGAAAGCGUGGGGAUCAAACAG